GACUCAGUGGCACAGCGGUAGUGCAUCCACACAAUCUAAUCGGCCAGAUCUAGACGUUUCUGCGGAGGAAGCCCGUUCGACUCGGGCCUGGGCCA